rnacentral:rRNA from 1 species
GAUGAACGCUGGCGGCGUGCCUAAUACAUGCAAGUCGAGCGAACAGACGAGGAGCUCGCUCCUCUGACGUUAGCGGCGGACGGGUGAGUAACACGUGGAUAACCUACCUAUAAGACUGGGAUAACUUCGGGAAACCGGAGCUAAUACCGGAUAAUAUAUUGAACCGCAUGGUUCAAUAGUGAAAGACGGUUUUGCUGUCACUUAUAGAUGGAUCCGCGCCGCACUAGCUAGUUGGUAAGGUAACGGCUUACCAAGGCAACGAUGCGUAGCCGACCUGAGAGGGUGAUCGGCCACACUGGAACUGAGACACGGUCCAGACUCCUACGGGAGGCAGCAGUAGGGAAUCUUCCGCAAUGGGCGAAAGCCUGACGGAGCAACGCCGCGUGAGUGAUGAAGGUCUUCGGAUCGUAAAACUCUGUUAUUAGGGAAGAACAAAUGUGUAAGUAACUAUGCACGUCUUGACGGUACCUAAUCAGAAAGCCACGGCUAACUACGUG